AAAGUGGCAUUAACGUAGAAGAUUUGCUAAAGCUCAUUUCCGAAAAUCGGCAAGUUUGAUAUUAAAUAGUACCAUUCUCUUCAUGUAACGAGGUCAUGGAAUUUUUUCAUUCGAAUAGAGUAUGAACCCUGAUGACAAUAAAUGUAUUUAUAAUUUUCAAUUAUUUUUGCAGCAUUUAACAAUUUUCCAUUUCAUAUGAUCUUGUUAACCCAAAACUAGGUUUUCGGCUUUGGAUAGAAUAUGUUCUUUUUAAUGUUUUAAAACUUAUUUAAGUGUCUAAAAUCAAAAGUAUGAGAAGCUGUAAUUGUAAAGCUGUUGUUUAAAAAACGUUUUACAGCUUGGGUACAGGGUAUUAAACUUUUGACAGUUGUAUAAAUUAUGUGAAAAAUAUGUUUUUUGCAUCGUGAUUAAAUACCAAAUAAUAAUGUCAAAAAUUCACCAAUCCUGAUAUAAACAUUUUUAUUCAAUCAUAUAGAUAAGGAACUGUCAAUCCUGUUUGAGGCUUUCAAGAGAUGAUGAAAAAUGGUGAUCCUAUGUUUUUUGUGAGGCUGUUAAACAAAGAGCCGAAGUUGUAUGAACUUAUUUGAAAGAUUAAAAGGAUGUUAAGUUAUAUAAUUUCAAAAUCUUUGAAGUUGGUAAAGAACUAAGGGCAUCUUGACUCAAAGUGGAUGAAGUGUGAUGUGACUUAUUGUUACUGAGAAGCUCUGAAAUUCAAAUAUUGUGAUUGGAUACAGUUUCGAUUCAUAUUUUUAUAACAUAUUUUCUGUAAUUACGAUGUUAUGGAGGUUUUUUAUAUAAAUUGGC